rnacentral:piRNA from 1 species
UCCCUCACUGCACUUGAAACCCAGA